UGUAGGACUCCGAUAUGGUAGUUCUUUCAGAUAGUCGAAUGACUUGGAAAAGUCAGUCAAAGAGGGUAAAAACCCCGUAGACGAAAUGUGGAAGACACCUAGGAGGAUCCUGAGUACGGCGGAACACGAGAAAUUCCGUCGGAAUCCGGGAGGACCAUCUCCCAAGGCUAAAUACUCCCUAGUGACCGAUAGUGAACCAGUACCGUGAGGGAAAGGUGAAAAGCACCCCGGAAGGGGAGUGAAAUAGAACCUGAAACCGUGUGCCUACAACAAGUCAAAGCCCGUUAAUGGGUGAUGGCGUGCCUUUUGUAGAAUGAACCGGCGAGUUACGAUUGCAUGCGAGGUUAAGUUGAAGAGACGGAGCCGCAGCGAAAGCGAGUCUGAAUAGGGCGUUUGAGUAUGUAGUCGUAGACCCGAAACCAUGUGAUCUACCCAUGUCCAGGUUGAAGGUGCGGUAAAACGCACUGGAGGACCGAACCCACGUACGUUGAAAAGUGCGGGGAUGAGGUGUGGGUAGCGGAGAAAUUCCAAACGAACUUGGAGAUAGCUGGUUCUCUCCGAAAUAGCUUUAGGGCUAGCCUCGGAAUUGAGAAUGAUGGAGGUAGAGCACUGUUUGGACUAGGGGCCCAUCUCGGGUUACCGAAUUCAGAUAAACUCCGAAUGCCAUUCAUUCAUAUCCGGGAGUCAGACUGUGAGUGAUAAGAUCCAUAGUCGAAAGGGAAACAGCCCAGACCACCAGCUAAGGUCCCAAAAUAUAUGUUAAGUGGAAAAGGAUGUGGGGUUGCACAGACAACUAGGAUGUUGGCUUAGAAGCAGCCACCAUUUAAAGAGUGCGUAAUAGCUCACUAGUCGAGUGACCCUGCGCCGAAAAUGUACCGGGGCUAAACAUAUUACCGAAGCUGUGGAGUACACCUUUAGGUGUAUUGGUAGGAGAGCGUUCUAAGGGCGUUGAAGGCAGAUCGUGAGGACUGCUGGAGCGCUUAGAAGUGAGAAUGCCGGUAUGAGUAGCGAAAGACAGGUGAGAAUCCUGUCCACCGAAUGACUAAGGUUUCCUGGGGAAGGCUCGUCCGCCCAGGGUUAGUCGGGACCUAAGCCGAGGCCGACAGGCGUAGGCGAUGGAUAACAGGUUGAUAUUCCUGUACCCGUUGUUUUUGUUUGAGCAAUGGAG
rnacentral:rRNA from 1 species